rnacentral:rRNA from 1 species
GACGAACGCUGGCGGCGUGCUUAACACAUGCCAGUCGAACGGAAAGGCUCCAGCUUGCUGGCGUACUCGAGUGGCGAACGGGUGAGUAACACGUGGGUAAUCUGCCCUGCACUCUGGGAUAAGCCUGGGAAACUGGGUCUAAUACUGGAUAUGACCUUUCUCCUUAUGGGGUUUGGUGGAAAGUUUUUCGGUGUAGGAUGAGCCCGCGGCCUAUCAGCUUGUUGGUGGGGUGAUGGCCUACCAAGGCGACGACGGGUAGCCGGCCUGAGAGGGUGAUCGGCCACAUUGGGACUGAGAUACGGCCCAGACUCCUACGGGAGGCAGCAGUGGGGAAUAUUGCACAAUGGGCGGAAGCCUGAUGCAGCGACGCCGCGUGAGGGAUGACGGCCUUCGGGUUGUAAACCUCUUUCAGCAGGGACGAAGCGUAAGUGACGGUACCUGCAGAAGAAGCACCGGCUAACUAUGUG